rnacentral:rRNA from 1 species
CCUACGGGUGGCAGCAGUGAGGAAUAUUGGUCAAUGGGCGCGAGCCUGAACCAGCCAAGUAGCGUGAAGGAUGACUGCCCUACGGGUUGUAAACUUCUUUUAUAAAGGAAUAAAGUGAGGCACGUUUGCCUUUUUGUAUGUACUUUAUGCAUAAGGAUCGGCUAACUCCGUGCCAGCAGCCGCGGUAAUACGGAGGUUACGAGCGUUAUCCGGAUUUAUUGGGUUUAAAGGGAGCGUAGAUGGGUUGUUAAGUCAGUGGUGAAAGUUUGCGGCUCAAACGUAAAAUUGCAAUUGAUACUGGCAGCCUUGAGUACAGUUGAGGUAGGCGGAAUUCGUGGUGUAGCGGUGGAAUGCUUAGAUAGCACGAAGAACUCCGAUGGCGAAGGCAGCCUACUAAACUGCCACUGACAUUGAGGCUCGAAAGUGUGGGUAUCAAACAGGAUUAGAUACCCGGGUAGUC